AUUGAUCGCCGGCGGCAGGCCUAACACAUGUAAGUCGAGCGGAGCGGCGGACGGGUGAGUAAUGCCUAGGCAUCUGCCUGGUAGUGGGGGAUAACGUCCGGAAACGGGCGCUAAUACCGCAUACUAUCAGAUGAGCCUAGGUCGGAUUAGCUUGUUGGUGGGGUAUAGGCCUACCAAGGCGACGAGCCGUAAAUGGUCUGAGAGGAUGAUCAGUCAAACUGGAACUGCGACACUGUCCAGACUCCUACGGGGGGCAGCAGUGGGGAAUAUUGGACAAUGGGCGAAAGCCUGAUCCAGCCAUGCCGCGUGUGUGAAGAAGGUCUUCGGAUUGUAAAGCACUUUAAGUUGGGAGGCGUUACCAACAGCAUGAGCGCCGGCUAACUUCGUGCCAGCAGCCGCGGUAAUAC
rnacentral:rRNA from 1 species